rnacentral:rRNA from 1 species
UACGUAGGGUGCGAGCGUUAAUCGGAAUUACUGGGCGUAAAGCGUGCGCAGGCGGCGCGUUAAGACAGGUGUGAAAGCCCCCGAGCUUAACUUGGGAAUUGCGCUUGUGACUGGCGUGCUGGAGUGUGGCAGAGGGAGGUGGAAUUCCACGUGUAGCAGUGAAAUGCGUAGAGAUGAUGGAGGAACACCGAUGGCGAAGGACAGCCUCCUGGGCCAGCACUGACGCUCAUGCACGAAAGCGUGGGGAGCAAACAGG